rnacentral:misc_RNA from 1 species
GAUGAAGAACGUAGCGAAAUGCGAUAAGUAAUGUGAAUUGCAGAAUUCAGUGAAUCAUCGAAUCUUUGAACGCACAUUGCGCCCCUUGGUAUUCCGAGGGGCAUGCCUGUUCGAGCGUCAUUAUAACCCCUCAAGCUCAGCUUGGUGUUGGGGCCUGCUGCACUGGCAGCCCUUAAAAUCAGUGGCGGCGCCAUCUGGCUCUAAGCGUAGUAAUUCUUCUCGCUCUGGAGGUCCGGUCGUGUGCUUGCCAGCAACCCCCAAUUUUUUUCAGGUUGACCUCGGAUCAGGUAGGGAUACCCGCUGAACUUAAGCAUAUCAAUAAGCGGAGGA